UGUGUGUCUUUGUCAGAUGUGUUUAUAUAGAGUGUGUGUAUAUGUGUCUGUGCACACUCUAUAUAAACACAUCUAACAAAGACACUUA
rnacentral:pre_miRNA from 1 species